ensembl:lncRNA uncharacterized LOC113886598
GCCCGCUAAGAAGAGGGAUGGGAGCGCGGCCGGGCUCCUGGCAUCGCCACCUCCGCGUUUGUACCCACUGAGCAAAUAUACACUAAAUGAGACUCAAACAGGCACAGCCAAAGGAACGGCCGAUUCUGUCCUUUCUUCUUAAUCCCUUUGGCUUAGGGUUUCCCGGCCUGGACAGCCUGUCCGAGGGGAAGGCUGCCCAAGGGCACCCGGGCAUCCGUCCGCGGACAUUCAGGCAGUGACCAAUCCCCGGCCGUCCUGGCAUGCGCCCUGCAUCGUGGGCCAUUUCCCAGCCGGCCAGUGGGGAGAAGGCACUGUGGGUCCCUGGGUCUUGGUGAGAUGGUCAAGGAUGGACCUGUGAUGGAGACCGGCGUGCAGCCAUGUCCAUGCGUGAAGAAGGCACUUGGGUUUGGACGGAGGACAUCUUUGCCGUCCCUUCGGCCAAACCAUGAAAAGCAACCCUCUCCCCCCAUCCCCCAGCACCAAGCCGGAGACCACCUUGGGCUGGAGCCCAGCACGGCCACCGCCUCGUCUCGGCUAUCCAGCUUGGGACAGACAGCGUCCAGCCCCAGCUCCAUGGACACAGACCGUCCCCUCAGCUUUGUGUCCGCCGCUGGACGGGACCCCCGCUGCCCAUGUGGAUGGCAGGGGACGGGGGCGCCAAGGGCCCCCACAGCCACACACGGCUGCACAAAAUGGCUCCCAUCUUGCUUCCUCAGCAAGAAGGAAGAUGCUGCUCUUUGGAUGGACGGCUGCUGCCCACCCCGUGCCCAGCCACUCCUCUCCCCUGGAGUGGCCGUCAGGACGCUCUUCCCUCGGCCACGGGGCUCUGUUCCCUGCCCCUCCCCACCCCGAGUCCUCUGCCUCUUUCAGGCUCGCGUUUGUCCCCUUCCCCAAGGCCCUGAGCUCUCUCUCCCCCAAAUCCUUCCUCUUCUCCUCCACGUCCCCUUGUCCCCACGGAACACCCUCUGCCCUUCCCGAGCUCUCUCUCACGCAUGGUGCAGUUUCUGUCUGGCCUCCUGGCUCCCUCCUCUCCCCAGAGGUGCUCCGGGCCACCCCGAAACUCUCACCCCCUUCCUGCUCUGCCUCCCAGAGCAGCGGGAGGGCAGCAGGCAAGAAAGAUGUAGUGAGACUCUGAGCUGUGAUGGUGGUGGCCUUGGGGUCCUGGGGGUCAAGGUUGCUGACUGACGCCCAAGGAAGCCAUGCCGGCGGGUGGGGACGGGUGCGUAAGCCAUGGGGGCCAGGGGGUUUCUCUGUGGAACCGCUGGAUGGAGAACCUCAGCCAGGGGCGGCUGCAGCCUGUCCUGGGACAGGGGCGGGUCUCACCUGGCGGGGCCGUGUCUGUCCUGGGCAAGUGAGUGGUCACCGCACUGGGGCCUGAGCAUCUCAGGAGGGGCAGCUGAGCCCUGGCGGCUGUGGGGACCUUGUGAGUUUGGCCGAGGCCGCCACGUUCCGGCGCCGGGUGAGGGCGUGCUGCCGCUCACCGCCACGUGACCCUGGGGCCCCGCUGAAUUGCUCAUGAGCCUCAGAACCUCGGUGGGAUUGGACUUGGGGUCCCUGGAAAGUCAAGGGCACUGGGGAUCCAGAAAUAACGCGGCCGCCCAGCCAGCAGGGCCACGGCCUUACUCGAACAGGUCUUCCCGUCCCAAGAGACCUGCUGCCUUUGUCUGGAUCCUGUUCCUGGGAGCCACGGCCGCCUGUGGGGCUCCAGGCGGGCCCAGGUGCCCUCCUCCCAGGGCUCGCCUGCCUCUCUCUGCAGCCUGGCCAGCGGGUGAGGGGGGUGGGUGCAGUGGGGAAGAGGGUGCCCUGGCCACUUUGCUCCCCCCAGGAGUGGGGGAGGGUCUUGGGGUGGCCAGGAGGGGCGAGGAGAGACAAGAGCCCCAGAGAAGCGUGGCGGGAGGGCCCCGGGGAAGAUGGCUGGGCCGUUUGCUGCGUGCGGGGUUUGUAGCGAGCGCGGAGCUCUGAGCCCACAGGCCGGGCCCAGAGGGGACAGGAAGGAGGCGGCUGCCCGGCCCCGGGCACCGCUGCCCCGUCUCCCAUUUCCAGGGCACCGGGGCCACCAGCCCUGGCGGCUCUGUGCCUUGGGCGGGCAUGCCUGGUCACUCGGCCGGGCUGUCCGCGUCACCGGGGAGAGGGUUGAACGUCGACCCUGCGUCAGACGUCCCGGGCGGGUCCCUCACUCAGGCCU